rnacentral:rRNA from 1 species
UGCCAGCCGCCGCGGUAAUACGGAGGGGGCUAGCGUUGCUCGGAAUUGCUGGGCGUAAAGCGCGCGUAGGCGGUUUAGCAAGUUGAAGGUGAAAUCCCGGGGCCCAACCCCGGAACUGCCUCCAAAACUGCUAGACUAGAAUUCAAGAGAGGUAGGCGGAACUUCCAGUGUAGAGGUGAAAUUCGUAGAUAUUGGAAGAACACCAGUGGCGAAGGCGACUCACUGGCUCGAUACUGACGCUGAGGUGCGAAAGUGUGGGGAGCAAACAGGAUUAGAUA